rnacentral:rRNA from 1 species
AGUGAACGCUGGCGGUAGGCCUAACACAUGCAAGUCGAACGGCAGCACAGUAAGAGCUUGCUCUUACGGGUGGCGAGUGGCGGACGGGUGAGGAAUACAUCGGAAUCUACUUUUUCGUGGGGGAUAACGUAGGGAAACUUACGCUAAUACCGCAUACGACCUACGGGUGAAAGCAGGGGAUCUUCGGACCUUGCGCGAUUGAAUGAGCCGAUGUCGGAUUGGCUCGUUGGCGGGGUACGGGCCCACCAAGGCGACGAUCCGUAGCUGGUCGGAGAGGGUGAUCAGCCAGACUGGAAGUGAGAGACGGUCCAGACGCCUACGGGAGGCAGCAGUGGGGAAGAUUGGACAAUGGGCGCAAGCCUGAUCCAGCCAUACCGGGUGGGUGAAGAAGGCCUUCGGGUUGUAAAGCCCUUUUGUUGGGAAAGAAAAGCAGCAGGUUAAUACCCCGCUGUUCUGACGGUACCCAAAGAAUAAGCACCGGCUAACUUCGUG